CCUACGGGAGACAGCAGUGAGGAAUAUUGGUCAAUGGCCGGAAGGCUGAACCAGCCAUGCCGCGUGAAGGUCAGUGCCCUAUGGGCGUUAAACUUCUUUUGUGCGGGAGCAAUAAUGGUCACGUGUGGCCAGACGAGAGUACCGUACGAAUAAGCAUCGGCUAACUCCGUGCCAGCAGCCGCGGUAAUACGGGGGAUGCAAGCGUUAUCCGGAUUUCUUGGGUUUAAAGGGGGCGUAGGCUGUGAGGUAAGUCAGCGGUGAAAUGCCCCCGCUCAACGGGGUGAAGUGCCAUUGAUACUGCACUGCUGGAAUGCGGAUGCGGUGGGAGGAAUGUGUGGUGUAGCGGUGAAAUGCAUAGAUAUCACACAGAACACCGAUUGCGAAGGCAUCUCACGAAUCCGCGAUUGACGCUGAUGCACGAAAGCGUGGGUAUCAAACAGGAUUAGAUACCCUGGUAGUC
rnacentral:rRNA from 1 species